GGUGGCUCAGUAGUAGAGUGCUUGCCUAGCAUGCAGGAAGCCCUGGGUUCGAUUCCUCAGCACCA
rnacentral:tRNA from 1 species